GAUGAACGCUGGCGGCGUGCCUAAUACAUGCAAAUCGAGCGAACAGAUAAGGAGCUUGCUCCUUUGACGUUAGCGGCGGACGGGUGAGUAACACGUGGGUAACCUACCUAUAAGACUGGAAUAACUCCGGGAAACCGGGGCUAAUGCCGGAUAACAUUUAGAACCGCAUGGUUCUAAAGUGAAAGAUGGUUUUGCUAUCACUUAUAGAUGGACCCGCGCCGUAUUAGCUAGUUGGUAAGGUAACGGCUUACCAAGGCAACGAUACGUAGCCGACCUGAGAGGGUGAUCGGCCACACUGGAACUGAGACACGGUCGAGACUCCUACGGGAGGCAGCAGUAGGGAAUUUUCCGCAAUGGGCGAAAGCCUGACGGAACAACGCCGCGUGAGUGAUGAAGGUCUUCGGAUCGUAAAACUCUGUUAUUAGGGAAGAACAAAUGUGUAAGUAACUGUGCACGUCUUGACGGUACCUGAUCAGAAAGCCACGGCUAACUACGUG
rnacentral:rRNA from 1 species